rnacentral:ribozyme from 1 species
GAGAACAACGCAGAAAUCAUUCAUAUAAUUGAAACAAGAUUAUUAUACUUUUUAAAAUCACAAACAUCAUAUGCUAAUUACUAUACCUUGUAAAAA